UCUCCGUAGGUGAACCUGCGGAGGGAUCAUUACCAGAGAUGGCGGGCCUCCGUGCCCCCGUCCCCAACCCAUUGUUGACCAAAACCUUUUUGCCUCGGGGGCAGAGCGUCCGCCGCCGCCCCCGGAGGACCACCGAACGCUGUCUCUGUACGUCGGAGUAUUGAUUAAAUGAAUGAAAACUUUCAACAACGGAUCUCUUGGUUCUG
rnacentral:misc_RNA from 1 species